CAGCUUCUAUGCUUCCUGUGGAAACUGUUGACAUUUGAGAACAAAGCAGCCAAAUACUCACCUGGUACACCUCCAAUAAACACUGGCUCCCUGUGGUCAGUUGCCUUUGGGUUUAGUGGCCCUACUACAUGGUUGACUUCUGAGUCUACAUCCAGCUGCACCACGUUAGCAUCUCUAAUAACUGCGAUUCGGUGCCAUCUGCCAUCGCAGAGACUCUGUUUCAGUGUCACUGAAGUUGAAAAAUCUCUGAUUCCAUUAUUCAGUUUCACAGUAACCUGUCCAUUUCUCAUGUGCAUAUUCAGGUACUCUCCAUUCACACUGUGGCCAUGCAGUAAAAUUCCUGAGCUACUUCGGGGACGUAUUUCAAAAACAACUUCAAAUUUCAGACCUAGACUGAAGGAUUCGUCUGUGAGAGAGAAGGAAGAAUGUUAUUUUUGUACUGAGUUAAUGGUGAG
rnacentral:lncRNA from 1 species